rnacentral:lncRNA from 1 species
AAACCUUAUCAGUGGUGAGGUUAACAUCUCAUGCACUUCUAUGAACACCUCUGAGAAUGUGAAGUCAGGGCUGGCUUGUAAAAGACAAAUGAUUCAACACAUAGUUUGAACUUUUAUUUAUGUUUAAUUUUUUAAUUUUUACAAGAUGCCGAUAGUAGCUGGCUUAUUAAUGUACAUUAUUCUUUGAUAUUUCAGGAAGCCACAGUGUUCAACUGUGAACUACAGAGUCCUGUAAGUUUAAAAUAACUUUGUUUCUCAACUAUGUGAUAUCCAGGAUUUUUUACAAUUACUUUGAGAUUUUUCCUCAUCAGUAAUGCAAAGAAAAUUGCAAUAUGAUUAUACAAUUUAUUUUUAUUUUUUUAGACAGGUUAUCACUCUGUCGCCCAGGCCGGAGUGCAGGGGUGUGAUUGUAGCUCAUUGCAGCCUCAAACUCCUGGGCUCAGACGAUCCUCCUUCAGCUUCCUAAGUAGCUGAGAUUACAGGCACGUGCCACCAUGCCUGGCUAAUUUAUUUUUUGUAGAGAGAGGGGUCUCACUUUGUUGCCCAGGCUGGUCUCCAACUCCUGGGCUCAAGUGAUACCCAGCCUGGGCCUCCCAAAGUGCUGGGAUUACGGGUAUGAGCCACUGUGCCCAGCCUGAUAUACAAUUUCUUCCUCAGACAGUCUGGCUCUGUCGCCCAGGCUGGAGUGCAGUGGCACAAUCUUGGCUCACUGCAACCUCUGCCUCCCGGGUUCAAGCAAUUCUCCUGCCUCAGCCUCCCGAGUAGCUGGAAUUACAGGCAUGCACCACCAUGCCUGACCAAUUUUUGUAUUUUUAGUAGAGACCUGGGGUUUCAUCAUGUUGGCCAGGCUGUUCUUGAACUCCUGACCUCAAGCAAUCCGCCCACCUCAGCCUCCCAAAGUGCUUGGAUUUCAGGAGUGAGCUUUUGCACCUGGCCUGAUAUACAAUUUCUGAUGCUAUAGAAGCAAUGUAUAACUCCUAAUUUACUAGUGACUGCUAUGCGCUUCAUUAACAUUAUGGACAUGUCGAUCCCAAAAAUCAUAUAGAAAUGUUACUUUUUUUUUGAGACAGGGUUUCACUCUGUCGCCCAGGCUGGACUGCAAUGGCGUAAACAUGGCUCACUGUAGCCUCAACCUCUCGGGCUCAAGCAAUCCUCCUGCCUCAGCCUCCCAAAUAGUUGAGACUACAGGCAUGUGUCACCACACCCCUUAAUUUUUGUAUUUUCUUUUCUCAUUAUGUUGUCCAGGAUGGUCUCAAACUCCUGGGCUCAAGGCAUCCUCCUGCCUUGGUCUCCUAAAGUGUUAGAAUUACAGGCAUGAGCCACUGUGCCCAGCCAGAAAUGUUAAACUCACUUUAUGGUUUCAGAACAAGGAUCAAAUAAAAUAAAAAUAUAAAAAAUAAAAUAUGGUUGGCCAAGUGUGGUGGCUCAGCCCUCUAAUCCCAGCCCUUUGGAAGGCCAAGGCAGAAGGCUCGCUUGAGCUCAGGAGUUCAAGACUAGCCUUGGCAACAUAGCAAGACCUCAUUUCUGCUAAAAAUAAAAAACAUUAGCCAGACAUGGUGGUCCACACUUGCAGUCCCAGUUAUUCAAGAGGCUGAGGUGGGAGGAUCACUUGAGCUUGGGAGAUCGAGGCUGCAGUGAGCUAUCAUCGUGCCACUGCACUCCAGUCUGGCGACAGAGCAAGACCUUCUCAAAAAUAAAAUAUGGUCGAAACGGGACAGACAAGGCGGCUACCUGUAACCCUGGCCGCUUUAGGAGCUGGGGCAGGAAAGUUGCUUGAGGCCAGGAAUCCGAGACCAGCCUGAGCAACAGCAGGACCCGUCUAUGAAAAAACAGGAGCAAGUAGUGGCACAUCCCAAUUGUGUCAGCUAACUGGGAGGCUGAGUAGCUGGGAUUACAGGCACGCACCACCACCGCAGCUAAUUUUGUAUUUUUAGCAGAGGUUGCCGUGAGGCGAGAUCGCGACACUACACUCGUCUGGGCAACAAGAGUGAAACUCCGUCUCAAAAAAAAAAAAAGUCAGAUCUGUGUAAAGAGAAUUAGUGUACCUGAAAAUUGUUUUCAGCUGUCAAUCACUUUGGUCCUUUACUGUCAUUCUAAGAAUCAGCCUAAUUUGGUU